rnacentral:misc_RNA from 1 species
GCGAAGGGAAUUGAAGAGAGCUUGGGCAUCCUUGCUGGUUGAUCUUGCCAUUUCAAGCCAAGAAACAAAGCUCUACACUAGCAACUGCAACUUCAAAUUCAAUAUCGCUUGAGGAGAUAAUUAGGGGUUUAAGCAAAUCUCUUCGAAACCCACUGAGAAUGAGUAAAUUUCACUCCAGGUACAUUAAUUUUAAGGCCCGUACAUAAAUUUUAAA